rnacentral:rRNA from 1 species
UGGUUUAAUUCGAUGCAACGCGAAGAACCUUACCUGGUCUUGACAUCCACAGAACUUUCCAGAGAUGGAUUGGUGCCUUCGGGAACUGUGAGACAGGUGCUGCAUGGCUGUCGUCAGCUCGUGUUGUGAAAUGUUGGGUUAAGUCCCGCAACGAGCGCAACCCUUAUCCUUUGUUGCCAGCGGUCCGGCCGGGAACUCAAAGGAGACUGCCAGUGAUAAACUGGAGGAAGGUGGGAUGACGUCAAGUCAUCAUGGCCCUUACGACCAGGGCUACACACGUGCUACAAUGGCGCAUACAAAGAGAAGCGACCUCGCGAGAGCAAGCGGACCUCAUAAAGUGCGUCGUAGUCCGGAUUGGAGUCUGCAACUCGACUCCAUGAAGUCGGAAUCGCUAGUAAUCGUGGAUCAGAAUGCCCACGGUCGAAUACGUUCCGGCCUU